GUAGGGCGGGACACGUGGUAUCCUGUCUGAAUAUGGGGGGACCAUCCUCCAAGGCUAAAUACUCCUGACUGACCGAUAGUGAACCAGUACCGUGAGGGAAAGGCGAAAAGAACCCCGGCGAGGGGAGUGAAAAAGAACCUGAAACCGUGUACGUACAAGCAGUGGGAGCACCUUCGUGGUGUGACUGCGUACCUUUUGUAUAAUGGGUCAGCGACUUAUAUUCUGUAGCAAGGUUAACCGUAUAGGGGAGCCGCAGGGAAACCGAGUCUUAACUGGGCGUUAAGUUGCAGGGUAUAGACCCGAAACCCGGUGAUCUAGCCAUGGGCAGGUUGAAGGUUGGGUAACACUAACUGGAGGACCGAACCGACUAAUGUUGAAAAAUUAGCGGAUGACCUGUGGCUGGGGGUGAAAGGCCAAUCAAACCGGGAGAUAGCUGGUUCUCCCCGAAAGCUAUUUAGGUAGCGCCUCGUGAACUCAUCUUCGGGGGUAGAGCACUGUUUCGGCUAGGGGGCCAUCCCGGCUUACCAACCCGAUGCAAACUACGAAUACCGAAGAAUGUUAUCACGGGAGACACACGGCGGGUGCUAACGUCCGUCGUGAAGAGGGAAACAACCCAGACCGCCAGCUAAGGUCCCAAAGUCAUGGUUAAGUGGGAAACGAUGUGGGAAGGCACAGACAGCCAGGAUGUUGGCUUAGAAGCAGCCAUCAUUUAAAGAAAGCGUAAUAGCUCACUGGUCGAGUCGGCCUGCGCGGAAGAUGUAACGGGGCUAAACCAUGCACCGAAGCUGCGGCAGCGACACUAUGUGUUGUUGGGUAGGGGAGCGUUCUGUAAGCCGUUGAAGGUGUGCUGUGAGGCAUGCUGGAGGUAUCAGAAGUGCGAAUGCUGACAUAAGUAACGAUAAAGCGGGUGAAAAGCCCGCUCGCCGGAAGACCAAGGGUUCCUGUCCAACGUUAAUCGGGGCAGGGUGAGUCGACCCCUAAGGCGAGGCCGAAAGGCGUAGUCGAUGGGAAACAGGUUAAUAUUCCUGUACUUGGUGUUACUGCGAAGGGGGGACGGAGAAGGCUAUGUCAGCCGGGCGACGGUUGUCCCGGUUUAAGCGUGUAGGUGUGUGUUCCAGGCAAAUCCGGUUCACUUUAACACUGAGGCGUGAUGACGAGGCACUACGGUGCUGAAGUGAUAAAUGCCCUGCUUCCAGGAAAAGCCUCUAAGCAUCAGGUAACACGAAAUCGUACCCCAAACCGACACAGGUGGUCAGGUAGAGAAUACCAAGGCGCUUGAGAGAACUCGGGUGAAGGAACUAGGCAAAAUGGUGCCGUAACUUCGG
rnacentral:rRNA from 1 species